AUGUACCACUCGUACACUCCGGUUCCUGUGCGCCGCCCGCACCCACCUGACGACUGCUCGCCCAGUCGCACCAUGGCGUUGCGGCC
rnacentral:sRNA from 1 species